rnacentral:rRNA from 1 species
AACGAACGCUGGCGGCAUGCCUAACACAUGCAAGUCGAACGAGACCUUCGGGUCUAGUGGCGCACGGGUGCGUAACGCGUGGGAACCUGCCCUUAGGUUCGGAAUAACUCCCCGAAAGGGGUGCUAAUACCGGAUAAUGUCUUCGGACCAAAGAUUUAUCGCCUUUGGAUGGGCCGGCGUUGGAUUAGCUAGUUGGUAGGGUAAAAGCCUACCAAGGCGACGAUCCAUAGCUGGUCUGAGAGGAUGAUCAGCCACACUGGGACUGAGACACGGCCCAGACUCCUACGGGAGGCAGCAGUGGGGAAUAGUGGACAAUGGGCGAAAGCCUGAUCCAGCAAUGCCGCGUGAGUGAUGAAGGCCGUAGGGUUGUAAAGCUCUUUUACCCGGGAUGAUAAUGACAGUACCGGGAGAAUAAGCUCCGGCUAACUCCGUG